UACGGCCAUAUCUACAUUGAAACUCUGAUUCUCGUACGUUCGCCGGUUAAACAACGUCGAGUCUGGUCAGUACGUAGAUGGGUGACCACUUGGGAAUACCAGGUGCU